rnacentral:lncRNA from 1 species
GCAGAGUACAUGGGUGAGACACCGAAGAGUCCACCAUCUACUCCCUCCGCACUCCCCUCUCACACAUCCCCUCUCCUGUUAGAGAGAUGAUGAAGCUGCUUCUGCCUCACAGAAGGAUCAUAAAAACCUGUAUCCCAUAAGCUGAAGUCAGCCCAAUGAACUACACAAACAGCAAUAACCAAAACAAAGCAAGCAGGAAACGCGCAGCAUCUGUUAUGAUCGCACAACCACAAGACAGCUGUUUAAUCCCAACUGUUAGCAUAAGAUCAUUUGAGUGUUUGAAGAGCGAUCCCAUUUGGAUAUCCCCCCACUUAUUUAUUUAUUUCUUAGCUUUUCCAAGAGUGAGGCUUUCUCAGCUGGAGGACACGAUCUGCGCUCCUGGCUCUCUCCCCACUUUCACCCGCAGCUUCCGAAGGAGAGAGGUCAUGUCAAUCUUGGAAACGGAAGGAACGCCUUUUUUCUCUAUGCAUUUUCAGCUGUAAGUUUAUAAAAAUACCUGUUGUAUAAGAGCAAGUCAGGUUUUGGAAAUGACAAGUAUUGUGGACAAAAUCACCAACAUCUUCAAUGGGAGAAAAUCCUUUAUCGGCUGAUUCAUUUCCAUGUUUUGUUUCUGCAGGAGACGGGAUAUCCUUUCCAGGUCUUCGGUAAGUGGCAGAAUGAGUGACUAAGAAUGGAGUUCUCAUCUGACAGCGAUCUCUCAUCCCUAUUGUCUCCACCAGCUUCAUCUUGCCAUGUGGGAGCCCAGGAGUGUCUAUCGAGAGGAUUUCAGAAUCUCAACAGAAAUGUCAGCAGCAUCAGCAACAGAGUAAAGGUGCUUGAUAGCAAGACAGCAAAAGAAAUCGUGGAUGUCGGUUCAGCACCGUGAUGCUCGUACCGUCCACUGGAGCAGUUUGAAGAAAGACUUUCAUUAACAUACUUACACAGCAGUUGGCAUGCUUCCGGUGGCACAAUCAGGAUUCAAGGCAGAGCGCUUAAUGCCAAAGGGUAUUUCAUUGACACUCUCAGCACCAGAAUCUUCAAGGACUUCACCCCAGGCACAACGAUACUGAAGCAAAUGAACGUUUAGAGUGUUCUGAUAAAGAACGAUGGGUUUUUGUUGUUGUUGUUGUUUUGUUUUGUGUUUUUGUUUUGUUUUGUUUUUCCUUUUAAAUUAAACUCUCCAACUCAA